rnacentral:rRNA from 1 species
AUUGAACGCUGGCGGCAUGCUUUACACAUGCAAGUCGAACGGCAGCGCGGGCUUCGGCCUGGCGGCGAGUGGCGAACGGGCGAGUAAUGCAUCGGAACGUGCCCAGUAGUGGGGGCUAGCCCGGCGACAGCCGGAUUAAUACCGCAUACGACCUGAGGGUGAAAGCGGGGGACCGAAAGGCCUCGCGCUAUUGGAGCGGCCGAUGUCGGAUUAGCUAGUUGGUGGGGUAAAGGCUUACCAAGGCGACGAUCCGUAGCUGGUCUGAGAGGACGACCAGCCACACUGGGACUGAGACACGGCCCAGACUCCUACGGGAGGCAGCAGUGGGGAAUUUUGGACAAUGGGGGCAACCCUGAUCCAGCCAUGCCGCGUGCGGGAAGAAGGCCUUCGGGUUGUAAAACGCUUUUGUUCGGGAAGAAAUCCUCUGGGCUAAUACCCCGGGGGGAUGACGGUACCGGAAGAAUAAGCACCGGCUAACUACGUG